rnacentral:rRNA from 1 species
CCUACGGGCGGCAGCAGUGAGGGAUAUUGGUCAAUGGGGGAAACCCUGAACCAGCAACGCCGCGUGAGGGAAGACGGUUUUCGGAUUGUAAACCUCUGUCCUCUGUGAAGAUAAUGACGGUAGCAGAGGAGGAAGCUCCGGCUAACUACGUGCCAGCAGCCGCGGUAAUACGUCGGGAGCGAGCGUUGUCCGGAUUUACUGGUCGUAAAGGGUGCGUAGGCGGGACUGCAAGUCAGAAGUGAAAUCCUUGGGCUUAACCCGUGAACUGAGUUGGAAACUGCAGGACUUGAGUGGAGUAGAGGUAGGCGGAAUUCCCGGGGUAGCGGUGAAAUGCGUAGAGAUCGGGAGGAACACCAGUGGCGAAGGCGGCCUACUGGGCUUUAACUGACGCUGAAGCACGAAAGCGUGGGUAGCAAACAGGAUUAGAUACCCUGGUAGUC